UACGAAGGGGGCUAGCGUUGUUCGGAAUUACUGGGCGUAAAGCGCACGCAGGCGGAUCGAUAAGUCAGGGGUGAAAUCCCGGGGCUCAACCUCGGAAUUGCCUUUGAUACUGUCGAUCUCGAGUCCGGGAGAGGUGAGUGGAAUUCCUAGUGUAGAGGUGAAAUUCGUAGAUAUUGGGAAGAACACCGAUGGCGAAGGCAGCCAUCUGGACCGACACUGACGCUGAGGCGCGAAAGCGUGGGGAGCGAACAGG
rnacentral:rRNA from 1 species